rnacentral:rRNA from 1 species
AGCGAACGCUGGCGGCAGGCCUAACACAUGCAAGUCGAACGGACCCUUCGGGGUUAGUGGCGGACGGGUGAGUAACACGUGGGAACGUGCCUUUAGGUUCGGAAUAGCUCCUGGAAACGGGUGGUAAUGCCGAAUGUGCCCUUCGGGGGAAAGAUUUAUCGCCUUUAGAGCGGCCCGCGUCUGAUUAGCUAGUUGGUGAGGUAGUGGCUCACCAAGGCGACGAUCAGUAGCUGGUCUGAGAGGAUGACCAGCCACAUUGGGACUGAGACACGGCCCAAACUCCUACGGGAGGCAGCAGUGGGGAAUCUUGCGCAAUGGGCGAAAGCCUGACGCAGCCAUGCCGCGUGGAUGAAGGUCUUAGGACUGUAAAAUCCUUUCACCGGUGAAGAUAAUGACUGUAGCCGGAGAAGAAGCCCCGGCUAACUUCGUGCCAGCCGCCGCAGUAACAC